CGCCGUAAACGAUGAGUGCUAAGUGUUGGAGGGUUUCCGCCCUUCAGUGCUGCAGCUAACGCAUUAAGCACUCCGCCUGGGGAGUACGACCGCAAGGUUGAAACUCAAAGGAAUUGACGGGGGCCCGCACAAGCGGUGGAGCAUGUGGUUUAAUUCGAAGCAACGCGAAGAACCUUACCAGGUCUUGACAUCCUUUGACCACUCUAGAGAUAGAGCUUCCCCUUCGGGGGCAAAGUGACAGGUGGUGCAUGGUUGUCGUCAGCUCGUGUCGUGAGAUGUUGGGUUAAGUCCCGCAACGAGCGCAACCCUUAUUGUUAGUUGCCAUCAUUNAGUUGGGCACUCUAGCAAGACUGCCGGUGACAAACCGGAGGAAGGUGGGGAUGACGUCAAAUCAUCAUGCCCCUUAUGACCUGGGCUACACACGUGCUACAAUGGGAAGUACAACGAGUUGCGAAGUCGCGAGGCUAAGCUAAUCUCUUAAAGCUUCUCUCAGUUCGGAUUGCAGGCUGCAACUCGCCUGCAUGAAG
rnacentral:rRNA from 1 species